CAAGGCAUGAGAAGCAGUGUGUUGAAGUGGAUAGAGGACUGACCUUGGAGUAAGGAAGACCUGCUAAGAAUCAAAUCUUGCCUCCGACAGAUGAUGGCUGUGUGACCUUAGGUAUCAGUUUCCUUACCUGUAAAAUGGUAGCAAUAACACUUGUACUACCUACCUCACAAGGAUAAUGUGAAGAAAAUACUUGAUUGUUGACGUGCUAUAGGUCCUUCUCUUCUCUGACAUUCCAUGAUUACCAGCCAUGGCACCCAGCUUUUCUGCUGGGCCACUGUGUCUUCUGGAUUGACUGAUGAUCACUAAGCUACAAUCAAGUGAACUGGCCUCAGCAAUCUUCUUGGAUCAGUUUUUAGUGACCUCAGAAACCUGGUGACAAGGCAAAGGAGUAGAAAUUUUAAUACAAACCAUUUGUAUCAACUCUCCUCUGAACCUUAUUUCUUUUUCUGUCUUUUUGUGGGAGACAGUUUUACAUCAGUGGUAUCAAACUCAAAUAGAAACAGGGGUCUCCUAAAAUGUGCAUAAGGAUCCCAGUGGGCUGCAUAUUGACUUAGAAAGUCACAUAUCAACAUAUUAUUUGUGUUCUAUUGUAUUUAUAAUGUAGAUUAAACUUAA